rnacentral:tRNA from 1 species
UCCCCGGUAGCUCAACGGUAGAGCGUGCGACUGUUAAUCGCCAGGUUGUAGGUUCGAAUCCUACCCGGGGAG